CUUAGAAUCACCUUAAGAUGGAAAAGUUCACCGGGGAGACCGAGAGUUUAUACUCCAGCAAUGACCGUGUCUCUCUUUUAGAAGAGAGGUUUUUUUUAGGUUUUGCUUGCUUGUUGCUUGCUUGCUUAUGUAUGUUAGAUGCUAUGCCUUGAGUUGCCUGUUUGUUUGUUUGAACAUUCGAGGACGAAUGUUCUUAAAGGGGGGAAGAAUGUAAUACCCGGCUAGAUUCCGGCAUCGGAAUCCCUACCUUCCGGCGGAAUCUCCGUUGGAAUAUG
rnacentral:lncRNA from 1 species